UCUUCCCUACUCCGUGGUGACUACUUACUACCAUUGCUUAAUGCUCCCAAUUCUUGUUUUACUUAACCGAUCCGAUUUCUAUUGUUUUCUAAUCAAGUUCUGUGUGUCGUGCAGACACGUUCUGUUCUUUGUCUCUGUUCCUUUAAAGAGCAAUUGCAGCAGCAUGUUUGUUUUCAUGCAAUAGCAUGUUGGCAGCUUGAGCAAUCUCUCCAAAGUUUAAUAGGUUACCAUAGACCCGAAGGAGAGAAAUCCGGAAUCUUUUCAUACUGGUUUGAAGGUCAGAUGUACCAUAACCAAGGAAAUAGCACUGGAGUCUGAAUCACCCUUUUUGCUGGGAGCAGUUCACCAGUUGAGACUCAAGAAACCGCACAAAUAUUCUGGUUGAGAAGGCUUCAAAGACGUAGUUUAUGAAGCUGUCAAUCUUGAGGGUGGAUUGGUUCAUUACAUCCUUCCUGUCUAUCCUGCCAAGUGCAGAAAUGAAUGAGGUUUGCUAUUAAUGAAUUCCUGCUCUAAUACCUAGUUCAGAAUGGAAUUUCAUUGUGUAAGUUCAAACUAAGUUGUAAAAUGCUGCAAGGAUGAAUAAUGUUGCAAGGAUUAGUGAUUUUUUAU